CCCAAGGUUAGUGUGCCUUCUCCCACACU
rnacentral:piRNA from 1 species